UGGGGAAUAUUGGACAAUGGGCGAAAGCCUGAUCCAGCCAUGCCGCGUGUGUGAAGAAGGUCUUCGGAUUGUAAAGCACUUUAAGUUGGGAGGAAGGGCAGUUACCUAAUACGUGAUUGUUUUGACGUUACCGACAGAAUAAGCACCGGCUAACUCUGUGCCAGCAGCCGCGGUAAUACAGAGGGUGCAAGCGUUAAUCGGAAUUACUGGGCGUAAAGCGCGCGUAGGUGGUUUGUUAAGUUGGAUGUGAAAGCCCCGGGCUCAACCUGGGAACUGCAUCCAAAACUGGCAAGCUAGAGUAUGGUAGAGGGUGGUGGAAUUUCCUGUGUAGCGGUGAAAUGCGUAGAUAUAGGAAGGAACACCAGUGGCGAAGGCGACCACCUGGACUGAUACUGACACUGAGGUGCGAAAGCGUGGGGAGCAAACAGGAUUAGAUACCCAUGUAGUCCCUGAGCGGGCUGGCAAGGCGCAU
rnacentral:rRNA from 1 species